rnacentral:rRNA from 1 species
GAUGAACGCUAGCGGCAGGCUUAAUACAUGCAAGUCGAGGGGCAGCAUGGUUGUAGCAAUACAACUGAUGGCGACCGGCAAACGGGUGCGGAACACGUACGCAAUCUACCCAGAACUGAUGAAUAGCCCUCCGAAAGGAGGAUUAAUACAUCGUAACAUAAUUGAAUGGCAUCAUUUAAUUAUUAUAGCUCCGGCGGUUUUGGAUGAGCGUGCGCCUGAUUAGGUAGUUGGCGGGGUAACGGCCCACCAAGCCUGCGAUCAGUAACUGGUGUGAGAGCACGACCAGUCACACGGGCACUGAGACACGGGCCCGACUCCUACGGGAGGCAGCAGUAAGGAAUAUUGGUCAAUGACGCAAGUCUGAACCAGCCAUGCCGCGU